AAAGGAAUAGACGGGGACCCGCACAAGCAGCGGAGCAUGUGGUUUAAUUCGAAGCAACGCGAAGAACCUUACCAGAGCUUGACAUCCUCCUGACCGGGGAAGUAAUGUUCCCCUUCUCUUCGGAGCAGGAGUGACAGGUGGUGCAUGGUUGUCGUCAGCUCGUGUCGUGAGAUGUUGGGUCAAGUCCCGCAACGAGCGCAACCCUUGCUGUCAGUUGCCAUCAUUAAGUUGGGCACUCUGACGGGACUGCCGGGGAUAACCCGGAGGAAGGCGGGGAUGACGUCAAAUCAUCAUGCCCCUUAUGUUCUGGGCGACACACGUGCUACAAUGGCCGGCACAGAGGGAAGCGAAAGAGCGAUCUCAAGCAAACCCCUAAAGCCGGUCCCAGUUCGGACUGCAGGCUGAAACCCGCCUGCACGAAGUCGGAGUUGCUAGUAAUCGCGGAUCAGAAUGCCGCGGUGAAUGCGUUCCCGGGUCUUGUACACACCGCCCGU
rnacentral:rRNA from 1 species